GCGACGAAAAGGUAAACUUAUCGAAAGGUGAGGGCACAAAGCCGCGGGUCUAAGGUGACAGUAGUCACUAUGACAGCCGGGUUGCCGAA
rnacentral:ncRNA from 1 species